GACGAACGCUGGCGGCGUGCCUAAUACAUGCAAGUUGAGCGCUGAAGGUUGGUACUUGUACCGACUGGAUGAGCAGCGAACGGGUGAGUAACGCGUGGGGAAUCUGCCUUUGAGCGGGGGACAACAUUUGGAAACGAAUGCUAAUACCGCAUAAAAACUUUAAACACAAGUUUUAAGUUUGAAAGAUGCAAUUGCAUCACUCAAAGAUGAUCCCGCGUUGUAUUAGCUAGUUGGUGAGGUAAAGGCUCACCAAGGCGAUGAUACAUAGCCGACCUGAGAGGGUGAUCGGCCACAAUGGGACUGAGACACGGCCCAAACUCCUACGGGAGGCAGCAGUAGGGAAUCUUCGGCAAUGGACGAAAGGCUGAACGAGCAACGCCGCGUGAGUGAAGAAGGUUUUCGGAUCGUAAAACUCUGUUGGUAGAGAAGAACGUUGGUGAGAGUGGAAAGCUCAUCAAGUGACGGUAACUACCCAGAAAGGGACGGCUAACUACGUG
rnacentral:rRNA from 1 species